GUUCUUAUUUGUUUGGCUGCUAGCACUUUAUCCUGAUAAUAUAGUUAGAGGCUACAAGAGACUACAGAGAGCAAUGCUUCCUUUAUAAAGUGCCGGUCAUGCUUUCACUGAGAAAGGUUGGUGAGCACAUUAGCUAUUCACCCAUUCAAUUUCUAACCAAGUCUUGGAGUCUGCCCGGUCAUCCCACAGUCUUGAUUGCCGUUUUUCCAAAGAGUUUUGGCUAUUUAUGUGUGCUUUUGCUCCACUGCACCCCUGGCUUCUACACUAAAAACUGAUUUGUCAAGCUGGUGAGAACGAUGCGUUCGGAGCGGGCACUGGAAACCAAAGUCAUGCUCAACAUUAUAGCCUCAUGCACCAUCUAAAAUUUGUUCAAGGAGCGAACUGCUCGAAUUUUCAGUGAGACCCUGUUUGCAUUCAUAGAAACUGCUAGCAUUCUUAUUUGUAGCCUCUGUUUUCCCCUUUUUUUCCCGCUGGGUUGCAAAUCCUAUCCGUACACUAAUUAACUCCAAAGUGAAAUCAACAUGCCAUCUAGCACAACAGAAAAUCUCAACAUCAUGAUGCUUCAGUUCAAUGGUUUCUGCAUCUGAGCAGAAUAGAGAAGUUCAUGCAACAUGAAGGCACUGCACUAGAUCUGGCAGCGGUUCCAGCAUCAAUCUUGUACUACCUCUGCCCCAUAAUGUAAGAUGUUUUUGCAGUUUAAUUUGAACUGCAAAAACGUCUUAUAUUAUGGGCCGGAGGGAGUAGAUAGCAUUUGUAGUAGGAUCGAUGUUUUAGAUAGAAGCCUGCCGUCUUGUCAUCUUUAAAUGGAGGUUUUAUUCAUGCAUCAUUUCAAACUAUUGGCAUGUAGGAUCGAUGUAAGAUGUUUUUGCAGUUUAAUUUGAACUGCAAAAACGUCUUAUAUUAUGGGCCGGAGGGAGUAGAUAGCAUUUGUAGUAGGAUCGAUGUUUUAGAUAGAAGCCUGCCGUCUUGUCAUCUUUAAAUGGAGGUUUUAUUCAUGCAUCAUUUCAAACUAUUGGCAUGUAGGAUUUCUAGUCCUUUUAACAUCUGACAAUGUGCUAUAGUGGAAGCCUGAAUAGUUUGUUCCAUACCCUUCCAGAUUUUGUUUCCAAAUGCAUGCUGCAUUGCUUCUCCUUGAAUUUGCAAAUUUCGUUCUAGCUUUUUUUAUUCUCAACUAUAACUAUUGUACUAUCCUGAGACAACUUUUCUGAACACUCCUUGCUUUGAAAUCAGGAAUUUGCAGAAUACUUGAUGAUCAAAUAUUAUAUUCCCUCUAUCCCAAAAUAAGUCUCACCUUUGUACUAUCUUUAGUACAAAGUUGUACUAAUGUUGAGACGCUUAUUUUGGGACAGAGGGGGUAUUUUUAAUUAUGAAAAUUUAUUGAAGUGAGGAUUUUCUCUAACUUUCAUUGAGGAGUUGACGAGCUUCCUGAGGCAAGAAAAGAUGAUUUGCCCCUACGGUGUAUUACAUCUUGGUCCACAACUUGGCCUUAGUAACCAGUAGGGGAGCUGGCAACCAUGUCCUCUAACCCUUUCUGCCCACCCUCUAUGCUCCCUUAUCUUUCCAAACUGAGCUGCCACUCAGGCAACAAUUACACUCCUCUAAAGGGUACUACUACUGUACCACACACCUCAGUAUUAUGCUACAGUGCUGAUGUCUCCUCUUCUCCUAAGAAAUAAGUGGUAUUGAGUUGUUUCUACAUCCAUAUAGAUUGUGGCAUGUGAUGUAUUUCAAUUAUUCAAUAUGCUUCCCAUUCAUAACGUAUUGCACCGUAACAAUCCAUCAUGAUUGUAAUUGCACUCACUCUCUCCAGAUCCUUGACUACUCUCAACUUAGUUUGGGUGGUAGCAAUGUCUGAUAAGAUGGAUACGAGGCUACAGAGGCAUUGCAUCCUUUAUAUGGGUGGGUCAUGCUUACAUCUGCAAGUGUCUUUGCAGGAUCAGAGGUUCAGUCUGUACCUAAGAAGGCCAAAAAAAUUGAUACGCUUUUCUAGAGAUCAACUGAUGGGGUCAGCAUUUGUUGCAUUUGGCAUCAUAUUAUUUGUGGGUUUCUUCUAUGCCGCCGUUGUGUCCAAAAUGCUUCCGCCUUACGAGAACUGGCUUCUGUCUGCCAUCCAAAAUGAUAGGUAUUACUGCCUACUCGUGCCCUUGACACUUCCUAUGAUAAUUGUGGCUGUCUAUCUGCAUUGGCUAAGCAUGAAGAUGUUCAAGCAUGCCUGAAGAACCACAAAUUAGUUUUACGGAUGAAGCCUGCAAUCCUUGCUGAAAUGGUGGAUCAUGGGGAUCAUGAAGACAAUUUUGGCCAAUAAAUAUGC